UGAUGCACAUCACUAGGAAUUACAUGCUAUAAAAAUAACGUACAUCUGUUUAAGAACAUAGGGUAUGUGAUCUUGGAAGGAGAAGAGUGCUGUGUUUUCACUUUAGAGCAGUAUUUUCUCACUUCAGAUGGAGGUGAAUAGCAGGUAACAACAAUAAAAUACGUCAUUAAAAUAACGGAUUGUGUAAUGAGCUGAUAACAGCUUUCCCUUUAAUGUAGUCGACAGAAUAAGAAAAAGAUCUUAAGUUAAAAGACAGAAGUUUUAGAUCUGAAUAAACAGAAAUACUUUUUCACACAAUUUGAGUGAAUAGAAGUUUUACUGCAGGAAACUGUGGAAGCCAAGAUUCAGAUCAGCAGCUGAGCAGCUGCUGGUGAUAACCUUAGCAUUACCUCGAUUUGUGAUAACAAAUCUGUGAGGUGACGCUGUACUUCAGGGUCUGGUUUUUAUCUACCUAGGUGAGCCUUCGUAAGAGCCAAAUUCAUCCAUGCUCUCCACUGCCAAGCCUUUUUGGGUUUUAGUUCCUUGUAUAAGAAUUCUUGCAGGGACCAUUAAUGGAGAAACAGUAGAAAUAGUGGAAAAGUUGUACUAAUUUACCAUUCAGGUGAGGAAAAUCGGACAAGCUAAGAUUUUAUUAUCUAUUUUUAGUGUUGCCAGUACUAGUAGAGACAUUAUUGUUGACAAGCAUUUACACAACUUGGUGAAAAUGCUGAUACUCUGUACUCUGAGCCAGUACGGAGUAGCCAUGUCAGACCUUUUCCCAACUUGGUGCUAAAUGAACAUUUAAGACCUCAAUGUUUUUUUUUUCACUGAAGCCUGCCUAAGUGUAUUUGUAGGGGAUGUGUUGUGUGUAGUAGUGGUUCUUUGUCACUGCUCUACGUAGUAAUAGUAGGGACCUGAAAAUUUACUAACGGAAUUUAAAAAUAAAACCCGUAACAUUUACGGUCAGACAGGAGGAGCCUUCAGGGGAAAGAAAACUGGUUCAGUUAUUUCUUUUUUUCCAAGUCAGUUUGUAUUUAAGAUUGGGCUAAGGUUUUGUAAGGUAUUUUAUAUUCUUUGUGUACGUGGUCUGCUAAAGACUAAUUUGUCAUUAAGCUGUUGUGCAAUUAUCUUUGCGUCUUACCAGGUGAAUAGCUAGUAAACCGUAACAGGUAAAUGUAUGACUCACAGGUAGGUAACGAGUUAAAUUUUUGAGUUACUGCUGUGUUUAGGUCAUUGUACAGUGUCUGGGUGUGGGCAGGGAGGUUUCCCAGUUUGUAAAUCUAGUAAUUUCCAAGGAAAAAUGGUAUGUUUUCCAUUCUAGACUAUCUGUAGACCACUAUAAUAUAAUAAAUUGUGGUCAGGCAUCGCACUGGCAUUCUUAAUAGUUAAGCCAGUCUCUGAAACAGUCUAUUAGACCACCUACAGUGUCGGUGCAGCUGCCAGGGGGAUUUAAGAAGUGUUAGCCCUGUAAGUGUUAGUUGCUGUUACACAUGCAUUUUAAAACCCUUGAACCAAACUUUAAUGACUGUAUCUAAGCUCAUUUUAUUACAGUGUUUCUCACUGUAAGCAGUAAAUUGUAGAUAACUGAAAAUUUUAUUUACUUUUUUACUGUGGUGUACAUUUUGGCAUAUUUUUUUUUUACCUCCUAAAACAUUUUCCUUUAGGUUGUAAUUAAUAGUAUUGAUUUUAUCUUUUUAUGUUCUUAGUCAUUAUAUAGCGUAUAUAUAUAUAUGUGUAUGCUUCCACAAACUCAUAGCUAAUGCAUCACCAUUUGCUGCUGCUUAUUUUUAAGAAAAUUAAAAUAGGUCAAAACCCUGUGAAACAAUUCAGUAUGUUUACUCAAAGCAUUGAUCAAUCCAAUGCAACAAUUACAUUUUGAAAGUUACUUUGUUUUCUUUUACAAUAAUAAAUCUGUUAAUGAAUAAAGUAUCAUGCAAAAGAGGAAGUUCAAACUCGAAACUUACUUUAUCAUGGAGUUUUAAAUAGCUCCAUAUUAAUUCCCUUCCAACCAUCACUGUCAGGUUUCCCAGUUUGUAAAUCUAGUAAUUUCCAAGGAAAAGCGGUAUGUUUUCCAUUCUAGACUAUCUGUAGAUCACUAUAAUAUAAUAAAUUGUAUUUAUUUUCUGAAUACAAGCUUUUAACCAAGUCCCUGGCUGUAACUAGAGCAAAUCUGUGUACUGCAGUGCUCUGGUUUUUCUCAUGGUUUUAGGAAGCGAUACUGAAUGGAAUUUUGUCCUUUUAAAGAUGUGCCUCUCGGUACAUACUGUGUGCAACUUUGUAAUCCUUUUUUUUUUAUUAUUAUUAUUUGUUUGUUAAAAAGACUGUAAAUCGUGAGGUAGAUUUAUCUUAUUUUAGCCAUCCCUGGAUUUAUUUGCUGAAAGGAGGGCUUUGCGUUCCGGAUAGCCUCGCAGAACAUGGGAUGGUAGCCACUAACCUCCGACCACUUUUUCCCUUUCUCUGUCCCCCAAAUUAAUCUCGGUACCGGGAGGAAUCAUGCUGGCUGCGGCGUUCCCUCAGCUCGCAGCGCUGGGUUGGGGAGCGGCAGUCCGUGUGGCGGCGGUCCAUGGCUCCCAGUGCUCGCCCUGGGCUGGCCACGUGGGGUGGCUGCUGGUUUCAUGGGCCAUUGGUGUGGUUGUGGUGAAAACUUCCUCAGCCUGUUGGGGGGGUGGGGUAGUAUUUCUAGAAAUGUUAAUAAAAAUGACUAGUUGUCAUCGUGUAAAGUAGUGCUUGCGAUCUGGGCUUUGGGCAGGAGUGCAUCUGUCCUGUGGGGCCAUCCAGUGUGCCUGAGUGACCAGUUCCCGUGAACGAGCCAAGGUGGUUCAGCCAAGGAAGAGCACCAAGCGAGUAGUUACGCGUAGGGGGGCGUCUCUGCUCGUUCGGCAUCGACCCGCCGUGUCUGGGCGAACGGCGCUUGGCGCUGAGGCAGCGAGCGAACUGUCACAAAGGAAUUUGUACAGGAGAACUCUGUUUCAUUUGUUGAAUGAAUUUAACAACGCAGCAUUUUUCCUAAAACAUUGGUUAAAAAGACUACUGAUAUGCUUAUGAAAACUAUUUAUUGUAACGCCGAUUAAUUAUGCGGCAUUUGGAGAUGAAAAUGUCCUUGAAGAUCACGUUGAAUGAUGCUGGGCUGGUUUGUUGGUGGAAGGUCUGGUACCCCCUGCCCGACCUCUGCAGCCCUCAGCGGGACACAAGGGCCCCCAACAUGUCAUCGUGUUACUCUUCCGUCACCGAGCUGUGAAGGCUGAGCUGGCUCUUCAGAAUCACCGGCAAAGCCAAACAGGCGUUGAGGCUAGCGGAAGGCUUUAGUUCUGCCUUUUACAGGUUUUGCGUAUAAUUGUCUCUCUGUGUCUUCAGGCCUCUUCUGCAUCUUCAAAGCAUAGUCUGUUGGACGGUGUUACCGCCGUGUCAUUUCCUUGUUGUGUGGAUGGGACGGUGAGGGAUUACCUCUGUAAUCCUUAGCCUGGCUGUGAAAUGCACAGUAGAAACAGGUAAAUAGACUUAGUGUCACCUGGAGACACAGCGAGGCUCUGCAGGUACUGGGUGCCUGGGAUCGUGGGUAGAAAGACGUUGGAAAAUACGCGUGGUCGAAUUGACCCCUUCCCAAGCGUCUGUUCGAGAGGGAAUUCUGAAUAGGAAUUAGGUGAAAUAUUUUCCGUCUUUUCUCCAACCAUCUAUCUGAGCAUGAAUGUGGAAGAACCUGGACGGAUAAUAGGUUUCCUGCUGGAUGUCUGCUAAGGCUGAGAGCUGCCGGACUUUGAAGGUUCAAGGCAUUAGUGGGUACGGAGCCAGGAGUCGCCUGUGUUGAGUAGGAUAGUUUCAGAGUUGAGCGUUCUUUGGAAAGUGUGUUAAAACUAAGAGCUACAACUUCUUUGAUCUAAGAAAAAAAAGGUUUUAAAUUCUUUUGCUUUUAAUGGGUUAGGAGAAUUGAUUCUAUAUUGUUUUAAAAGUGAGAAGUAAAGCCAUUCUGUGAGCGAAGAAACAAGUGCCACUUGCUUUUUAAAAGAUAGCCUUGAGAAUUUUGUUUCUGCAAUAAUCCAAGUUUCAAUCAAAGACCAGUUUCCUUGGGAAGAUGUUGAAUGUUGCUAUUUUAUAUAAGAAGUCACACAGCAAAUGUGCCGUACGUAGUUUUCCUGGAAGCUUAUCAAAGUUGCGUGUCAAGUUUUAAUUUUAGCAGCAGUUUAGAACGAGACCUUCAGGCUGCCGAGAAGUGCUGAGGAGCCAGUGCCUGUGGUUCUCGGGGGGAAAAUGCCCGUCGCAGACAGCCGUCCCUUCGUAGUGCCGUCUGCCCUUACCCCUCUGAAAGGGCUUCUGUGUCUUGAACAUUGUAAAUACUCAGGUUUAACAGAAUAUUUGUAUUAUGAAUGUUGUUCACAUGAAUUACUAGUUUUAACUUCCACUGCUUGAUUUCAUUCAUCCGCUACCCUUGUCGAGUCGAAAAGGACUACUUCAGGAAUUUGGUCCAAAAAAAAGGUGUGACAGAUGUCUUAAGGCUGAGUAAUCAGUCAAAUUUGCUGUAUUUAAGUAUAGAAAUAAUUACUGUAUAUAGUCCACGAGCUAUAUGCAAAUGUGAUGACUCAUUAUCUAACACAGAGUAAAGGCGUAAGCAGGUUUUGUUACUAUUUCCAUAGAGGAGUAGCAAUUCAAAAGAAGAGCUGGUGUAAAGUGAGAAAACUCUGCGUGAUGUAUUGUGAUUGUAUUUUGGGUUUUACGUUUUACUUUGCUGUGAAUUGAACAGCGGACCUGGAGUCCUUUUUUGAAAUCAUUGUGGUUUAUGAUUGGGCUGUUGUUUCGGGAUUUUUCUUUUU